GCCUGGGUGGCUCAGUCGGUUGAGCGUCCCACUUUGGCUCGGGUCAUGAUCUCGCGCUCCGUGGGUUCGAGCCCCACGUCGGGCU
rnacentral:tRNA from 1 species